GCACUCCCCUAUCCACUAAACAGCAACUUCAAUGUUGAAAGAUUUUAAAAUCUUUCAACAUUGAAGUUGCUGUUUAGUGGAUAGGGGAGUGC